UUACAUCGCGCAGAUCUGUUCCAUAUUUGUUCCUAUUUUGUUCUUCACUGUGAUUAUUUUUGUCUUUAUGCGAGAAGUGUUUUAAUUUAAAGCACACACAGGAAACAUUAAGAAGGUCAUGUACCAUGUGGUCGACCUUGCUGACGCUGAAGAGGUUUCUGUGUAAAAAUGAUGACAUUGAGACAAACAGACCAGUUCCGGCUGCCGUGGAGGUCAACACACCACUGAUCUACUGGCUGCCCUUCAACGUGAUGCCCAGCCGAUGCCUGACCACCGACGGAACCCGUUAAAUCUCCUUAUCCGUUUACAUCCCAUAUAUAUAUAUAUAUAUAUCUUUUCCUCCUAGGACUUUUUGUUCCUCCCUGAGGUUUUUCUCCUAGGGUUUUUUUUAACCCCCGGGGAGUCAAGCAACAUUGGCUUAACUUAGCACCCUCUUGUAUAUGAGACAUUAUUAAUUUGCUCGCUUGUAAAGUUUAUUCAUAGCCGCUGUAUUUUGCUACUUAUAUUGUCUGUCGAUUUUUCUAUGUUUCCCCUGCUUCUUUUAAUGUAAAGCUGCUUUGAAACAACUACAAAUUGUGAAAAGCGCUAUAUAAAUAAAAUUGAAAUUGAAAUGUCUCUUUCCUGUUUUACAGAUGCAGUGAGGGAGUGAUUCCCCAACAUCGAGGUGGCAGAGAUCCGGGACCUUCUACGGAGGAAGUGCAACAAUGCCAGUUACAAGGCCCCCAGUAGUUCAAAUCAGAGCUAGAUGUCCAUAUAGUACAAGUUGUUCGCAAUUGUUCUCUUCCCGGCAUUUCAAAGAAAGUCGACUGUUUAAGGUUCCCCAUUUUGCCAAUAUCUGUUUUGUGUGUUACUUUUGUGUCAAUAAUAAAGAUCCUUUUUGA